UAAAUUUUAUUUAUUAAUUUUAUUUAUUUAAGUAUUUUAUUUAAUAAAAAUAAUUUUAAUUAAUUAUGGUUUUAGUAUUUUUUAAAGAAAUAAUAAUUUUAAUAAUAGUUUAUUUGUAUUGUAAAAGAAUAUUGAAAUAAUUUGAAAAAUUUUUAUUUUAAAAGAAAAUUUAAUUUAUUGUACCUUGUGUAUCAGGGUUUAUUAAUUAAUUAAUUAUUAUAAUAAUUUUUCUCGAAUUUUAAAGAUUUAGUUAUAUAUAAAAGUUACUGUGGAAUAAUUAUUUUUAAUAUAUAACUAGAAAUGAAACGUUAAUCGUUUUAAAAUAUAUCUAGUUUUUUAAGAAAUAAAUUUAAUUUAGAUUUAUUAAUUAAAAAGAUUAUUUAUUUAAUAUUUUUAUUUGAUAAAAUUAAUAUUUUAAGGGAUUAGCUUUAAAAUAAAUUUUUAAAUUUUUAAUAAAAUAAUUAAUAAAUGUAAGCUUAAAAAUAGUUAUCAUUAAUAAAUUUGUUAUAAUUUAUUUUAAAUUUUUUAUUAUUUAUUAUAAAAUUAAAUUAUUUAUUAAAAUAUAAAUUUUAAUUUUAAUAAUUUAUAAAUUAUGAUAAAAUUAGUAUAUUUAGUUUAUAUAAAUUAUUUAAAUUGAGAGGUUUAAAUAAGGAAUUCGGCAAAUUAUAUAUUCACCUGUUUAUCAAAAACAUGUCUUUUUGUAUUUAAUUUAAAGUCUAACCUGCCCACUGAUAAUUAUUAAAGGGCCGCAGUAUUUUGACUGUGCGAAGGAGGCAUAAUCAAUAGUCUUUUAAUUGAAGGCUUGUAUGAAUGGUUGAAUGAGAUAUAUACUGUCUUUUUUAAAUUUUUAUAGAAUUUUAUUUUUUAAUUAAAAAGUUAAAAUAGUAAUUAAAAGACGAGAAGACCCUAUAGAUCUUUAUUUUUGUUAAUUAUAAAUUAAAAAGAAUAAUUAAAUUUAUAAUUUAAUAAAAAAUUUUACUGGGGUGGUAUUAAAAUUUAAUUAACUUUUAUUAUUUAUUUACAUUAAUAUAUGAAUAUUUGAUCCAAUUAUAUUGAUUAAAAAAUUAAGUUACCUUAGGGAUAACAGCGUAAUUUUUUUUUAGAGUUCUUAUCGACAAAAAAGAUUGCGACCUCGAUGUUGGAUUAAGAGUUAUUUUUAGGUGUAGAAGUUUAAAGUUUAGGUCUGUUCGACCUUUGAAUUCUUACAUGAUCUGAGUUCAAACCGGCGUAAGCCAGGUUGGUUUCUAUCUUUAAUUAAUUAUUAUAUUAUAGUACGAAAGGACCUAAUAUAAAAAAUAUAAAUUUUAAAUAUAUGAAUUAUAUUAAUAUUUAAUAA
rnacentral:rRNA from 1 species